rnacentral:rRNA from 1 species
UACGUAGGGAGCAAGCGUUGUCCGGAAUCAUUGGGCGUAAAGCGCGCGUAGGCGGCCCUGUAAGUCCGUUGUGAAAGUCAAAGGCUCAACCUUUGAAAGCCGAUGGAUACUGCAGGGCUAGAGUCCGGAAGAGGCGAGUGGAAUUCCUGGUGUAGCGGUGAAAUGCGCAGAUAUCAGGAGGAACACCGGUGGCGAAGGCGGAUCUCUGGGCCAUUACUGACGCUGAGGAGCGAAAGCGUGGGGAGCGAACAGG